rnacentral:lncRNA from 1 species
CUAGAAUCCUUUAUCACUAACUGUCCUUCUCAACACACUUCUUCAUAGAAUUUGAGACUCUAUAGAUUUCUUUUGAUGAAUCACUCUUAAUUCUUAAUACUCAAUGUAUUAUAAUCCUUCCAUUCAUUACAAAUAUUUUCAAUUAUUCUCUUUUAAUUCACCAUUGUAUAACUCAACAUUCAAUAAAUCAAAUUCUUCCUUUGACAAUAUCGAAUCUCUUUUCAUUUCAGAACAUUACUUCACAUUUUUGAGAAACUAUUCAUAACUCUUUUUCUACAAAGAAAAUAAAAUCUAAGAAAUAAACAAAGAAAGAGAUAGCACCAAGCGUACCUCGGCUCAUGACUAUCAUUUUCUGGUCCUUAAACUAACUUCUACAACUUCUAUAUAUUUUUUUUUUGAUUUUCUAGAUUCUAACCUUCUACAAUCCAUAAGAUGUGUUUUUUUUUUUU